UACGUAGGGCGCAAGCGUUGUCCGGAAUUAUUGGGCGUAAAGAGCUCGUAGGCGGCUUGUCACGUCGGUUGUGAAAGCCCGGGGCUUAACCCCGGGUCUGCAGUCGAUACGGGCAGGCUAGAGUGUGGUAGGGGGAGAUCGGAAUUCCUGGUGUAGCGGUGAAAUGCGCAGAUAUCAGGAGGAACACCGGUGGCGAAGGCGGAUCUCUGGGCCAUUACUGACGCUGAGGAGCGAAAGCGUGGGGAGCGAACAGG
rnacentral:rRNA from 1 species